AUUAGACACCUAAAAAAUAUUUAUUUUAAAAAUAGCCCCAGCAAAUUUAAAUUUGCAAAAAUGAUUCUGGCUCUGCCACGUAGGCGCUACGUCAGCGCCAUGCGGGCCGGACUAGGCCAGUUAGUUAAGUUAAACACGGCACGGUGAAUGGUUCACCGUGUCUUGAGAAAGAAAAGCGAAAGGAAAAAUAUACGUAAGUAUGGAACGGUGAAUUAUUUACCAUGUUCAAACAUGGUGAAUAGUUCACCGUAUUCAACUUAACACCCCAACCCGUCCAUGUGGCACUGAUGUGGCGCCUACGUGGCAAGUUCAGGGCUAUUUUUGUAAAUUUAAAUUUGCUGGGACUAUUUUUAAAAUAAAUUUUCUUCAAUGGGGCUAAUUGCAAGAAAAGCUCCAUUUUUUUAUUUUAGUAUCUUAUGAUUUAAACUGUAUUACUUUAGUAUCUUGUGGUUUCUUUUUUCUUUUUUUAUUAUCUUUCUGUUAAUUUUUUUAAAAAAAUCAGUGAGAAAGUUAAAACUACAAGUACUAAACUAAAAAUUCGGUAAUCCAUAGGAUACUAAAGUGAAUAUUAGAUAAACCAUAUGGGGGAGUAUCUAAAGUUUUGCUAUAUAUUUUAAUAGAGAAUUAAUGAAGGUGUUGACGGAAAGAGAAAAAUGAAACCACAGGGUACUAAAGUGAUACACUUUAAAUCACAAGAUACUAAAGUAAAAAAGUGUUAAACCACAAGGGUUGUAUUUGAAAUUUUUUCUUAUU
rnacentral:lncRNA from 1 species